AACAUGCUUGUGUCCCAGUGGUAAUAAAAUGUGAGGCUGGAUGAACACAGCAGGCCAAGCAGCAUCUCAGGAGCACAAAAGCUGACGUUUCGGGCCUAGACCCUUCAUCAUUAUCUCUGUGUCCCAGUGGUAAUGUCUCUACCUCUGGGUCAGAAGGACUGGAUUCAAGCCCCACCUGUAGCUGAAAGUCUGUCGUGUUUUAUUCAGCUGUGAUUUGGCAAGAAGCAUGUGUCCCAAUUAUCAGCUCAGGAUGAAUCAUGUCUGGAAAGGUCAUCUGAACCAAGAUGCUUUCCAAGAUGCUGUGGGCUAAGUGCCUUGGGAAUUCGGAGUCAGCAGUAUGCUUGAAAGAUUCAGCAGUCACCCACAGCUUGAGUGCUGUCUCAGAUGAAGGAUAUUGUGCUGUUUGCUUGCUUUGAAUAAAUAACUAGAAAAUGGUUGAUCUCGGGUGGUAAAUGCUCAAGACUGUACCAUUGCCUGUAUAAUUGUACAAAUAAAGAUUUUUGAGUCAUAUGUA